UACGUAGGGGGCAAGCGUUGUCCGGAUUUAUUGGGCGUAAAGAGCGUGUAGGCGGCCCGGUAAGUCCGCUGUGAAAGUCCGGGGCUCAACCUCGGAUCGGCCGUGGCGACUCGUGGGCUGGAGCACUGUAGAGGCGGGUGGAAUUCCGGGUGUAGCGGUGGAAUGCGUAGAGAUCCGGAAGAACACCAGUGGCGAAGGCGGCCCGCUGGGCAGUGGCUGACGCUGAAGCGCGACAGCGUGGGGAGCAAACAGG
rnacentral:rRNA from 1 species